rnacentral:rRNA from 1 species
UGCUAUAAUGCAGUCGAGCGGACAGAAGGGAGCUUGCUCCCGGAUGUUAGCGGCGGACGGGUGAGUAACACGUGGGUAACCUGCCUGUAAGACUGGGAUAACUCCGGGAAACCGGAGCUAAUACCGGAUAGUUCCUUGAACCGCAUGGUUCAAGGAUGAAAGACGGUUUCGGCUGUCACUUACAGAUGGACCCGCGGCGCAUUAGCUAGUUGGUGGGGUAAUGGCUCACCAAGGCGACGAUGCGUAGCCGACCUGAGAGGGUGAUCGGCCACACUGGGACUGAGACACGGCCCAGACUCCUACGGGAGGCAGCAGUAGGGAAUCUUCCGCAAUGGACGAAAGUCUGACGGAGCAACGCCGCGUGAGUGAUGAAGGUUUUCGGAUCGUAAAGCUCUGUUGUUAGGGAAGAACAAGUGCGAGAGUAACUGCUCGCACCUUGACGGUACCUAACCAGAAAGCCACGGCUAACUACGUGCCAGCAGCCGCGGUAAUACGUAGGUGGCAAGCGUUGUCCGGAAUUAUUGGGCGUAAAGGGCUCGCAGGCGGUUUCUUAAGUCUGAUGUGAAAGCCCCCGGCUCAACCGGGGAGGGUCAUUGGAAACUGGGAAACUUGAGUGCAGAAGAGGAGAGUGGAAUUCCACGUGUAGCGGUGAAAUGCGUAGAGAUGUGGAGGAACACCAGUGGCGAAGGCGACUCUCUGGUCUGUAACUGACGCUGAGGAGCGAAAGCGUGGGGAGCGAACAGGAUUAGAUACCCUGGUAGUCCACGCCGUAAACGAUGAGUGCUAAGUGU